AGAGCACGGAUCGUGUGUUGCAAAAGCUCCGUGGUGCAAUGGAGAUUGGAGAGUUGGAGGGUUUUGGAUUGGAUGGAUUUAUGGGGUUCGGAAAGCUCUGAUCGUACGCGGCGCACAGAUGACUGUAGGGAGGAUACGGCGGAUCUAACGGUGGAGAGAGCGUGUUCAGCAUGCUUGAGAGAUGAUAAUUGGUUGAGGAGUUCAGUGUGGCGAGAUAGGACUUCAGUGCGGAGUUGGGAUUCGAGGAGGCGGAUGGCAUGGUGGAGGUGUUCGGCAGUGGAAGCCGGGGACCCAGAAGAGAGGGCCGCAGAAGAGAAGGAAGUGGAGGAGAAGGAUUGGGAGAGAAAAGGGGAGAGGAUAGGGUCU
rnacentral:misc_RNA from 1 species